GGGGUCCUUCCUCUGAUGCCCCUGAGCCCUUUCCUCCCCAGGCUGCUCUACAACCUGCGCUACCUGGGCCAGACCAGUGUUGGGACGUGUGGUGGCAAAGAGGUGCUGGAGGGAGCCAUCCCUGCCGUGCUGGAGAGGCGCUUGGCAGCGCGGGAGGUUUUAUUUGAUGUGAAGGAGGCAGAAGUCCUUGUGAAGGAGAAGGCUUCUUCCAAGCUCUUCCCCCGAGAGCCCUGAUGGGAGCACGUUCAACUGCCUGGUGUUUGCAUCCAGUUCUGAGCAAGAAUGCGAGGAAAUCAUCGGGAGAAUCGCUGCAGGACUCAAGCACACCGAGUGGUUUAUCUGAGGGAGAAUACGACAAGGGCUCCACUUUCCCAGCAGCAGCUGUGGGCUGCAGGCCCUGACUCCCAGAACAAGCUGGGAUGGUUUUCAUGCCCUUCCUCACCAUUGUGGUGGGAGAUCACAAAGAGCCAGCACCAAUUUACCCCAGUCAGGUCAGAACUGCUGCUACUCUUCCCCAGAACACCACGGUCCUUCCACUGGA